AGGCUGCUUUUGACUCCUCGACUUUUCGUUGGGUGACAAAUGCAAUUGAGGCUAAACAUUUUCACUCACUCUUUCACAUGGAAACCCUGACGGCAAAUGCUGUAAUAACAGCAACAUAAUCUGCAUUGAACAUAGAUAGAAAUAGUAAAAUCUUUUGGUAUUACCUGUAGGAUUUGUUGGGUGUGCGGGAAAAAAUUCCACAUUGUCGUAAAAUUCUUGGUGAUGUGGGUGACACACAGGAAAUUUCGAGGUGAUAUGUGGAUCAUGGUGAUAGGCCACAUCAAACUUAGUUCGGGGGAGAUUGUUGAGUAUUUCGAUGACCCGU
rnacentral:lncRNA from 1 species